AAGCUUGAGGAUGAAGAAAUCUCCUCCUACAUCCUCUCCGGCCUUGACAUCGAGUACAAUCCUGUGGUGUCGGCCAUCGUGGCUCGAACAGAGACAAUCUCCUUGGGUGAGUUGUUCACACAGCUUUCAUCGUUUGAGC